ensembl:snRNA U6 U6 spliceosomal RNA
UUGCUUUGGCAGCACAUAUACUAAAAUUGGAACAAUACAGAGAAGAUGACCAUGAUGCCUGCACUAGGAUGAAGCACAAAUUCAUGAAGAACUGUGGUACUAA